rnacentral:rRNA from 1 species
UUACGGGAGGCAGCAGUGAGGAAUAUUGCACAAUGGGCGAAAGCCUGAUGCAGCAACGCCGCGUGAGGGACGAAGGCCUUCGGGUCGUAAACCUCUUUUCUGAGGGACGAGACAAGGACGGUACCUCAGGAAUAAGUCUCGGCUAACUACGUGCCAGCAGCCGCGGUAAAACGUAGGAGGCGAGCGUUAUCCGGAUUUACUGGGCGUAAAGCGCACGCAGGCGGCUCGGCAAGUUGGGCGUUAAAGCUCCUGGCUUAACUGGGAGAGGUCGUUCGAAACUACCGGGCUUGAGGUUGGGAGAGGGGUGUGGAAUUCCCGGUGUAGUGGUGGAAUGCGUAGAUAUCGGGAGGAACACCAGUGGCGAAGGCGGCACCCUGGCCCACACCUGACGCUGAUGUGCGAAAGCGUGGGGAGUAAACAGGAUUAGAUACCCCGGUAGU